rnacentral:rRNA from 1 species
UAAACCUUUCACUUACACCCUCCCUCGCCCGGGUACUACGAGCCCAAACUUAAAACCCAAAGGACUUGACGGUGCCCCAUAUCCACCUAGAGGAGCCUGUCCUAUAAUCGAUGAUCCCCGUUUAACCUCACCACUUCUAGCCUACCAGCCUGUAUACCUCCGUCGUCAGCUCACCGCAUGAGCGCACUAUAGUGAGCACAAUGGAACCCUCCAAAACGUCAGGUCAAGGUGCAGCAAAUGAAAUGGUCAGAGAUGGGCUACAUUUUCUUACAUAGAAAACCACGGAAGACUACUAUGAAACCCCGUCAGAAGGCGGAUUUAGCAGUAAAGCAGAAACCAGAGAGUUCUCUUUAACAAGGCACAGGGGCAUGUACACACCGCCCGUCGCCCUCUUCAACAACAUACACUAAGUUAAUUACCUAAUACAGAUAAAAAGAAGAGGUAAGUCGUAACAUGGUAAGCAUACCGGAAGGUGUGCUUGGAA